GACAGAGGUGCCGAGCGUUAGGCGGAAUCACUGGGCGUAAAGGGCGUGUAGGCGGUCAGGUAAGUGGGAUGUGAAAUGCCCCGGCUCACCCGGGGACCGGCAUCCCAUACUGCUUGGCUUGAGUACGGGAGAGGAUGUGGGAAUUCCAGGUGUAGCGGUGAAAUGCGUAGAUAUCUGGAGGAACACCGGUGGCGAAGGCGGCAUCCUGGACCGAGAUUGACGCUGAUGCGCGAAAGCCAGGGGAGCAAACGGG
rnacentral:rRNA from 1 species